UGAGGAAUAUUGGUCAAUGGGCGAGAGCCUGAACCAGCCAAGUAGCGUGCAGGAUGACGGCCCUAUGGGUUGUAAACUGCUUUUAUGCGGGGAUAAAGUGCGUGACGUGUCAUGCAUUGCAGGUACCGCAUGAAUAAGGACCGGCUAAUUCCGUGCCAGCAGCCGCGGUAAUACGGAAGGUCCGGGCGUUAUCCGGAUUUAUUGGGUUUAAAGGGAGCGUAGGCCGCCAGAUAAGCGUGUUGUGAAAUGUACCGGCUCAACCGGUGAAUUGCAGCGCGAACUGUUUGGCUUGAGUGCACGGUAAGCAGGCGGAAUUCAUGGUGUAGCGGUGAAAUGCUUAGAUAUCAUGAAGAACUCCGAUUGCGAAGGCAGCUUACGGGAGCGCAACUGACGCUGAAGCUCGAAGGUGCGGGUAUCGAACAGG
rnacentral:rRNA from 1 species